rfam:Cavia porcellus supercont2_26 genomic scaffold, whole genome shotgun sequence.
GGGGAUUUAGCUCAGCGGCAUAAGCGCCUGCCUUGCAAGCAGGCAGUCAUAAGUUCAAUCCCUG